CCCCAUUCCCAAUCUCGUCUUGUGUUGUUCGGAGCGGGCAGCAGCACACAGCCCCAUCCCAAUCCUAGUCGAUCUUCUUCCCCUCCUCAAGGUAUGGCGAUUCUCUCCCCCUCUCAUCUUUUCUGUUGGUGUCACUCCCCCUCCCUUCUAGAUUGGCGAGUUUCUGUGAGUAGAUGCUUCUCGUCUAGGUGAGGGGAUCUCUGUCUUGAUUUAUUUGGCUGCUCGGUACGGAUAAAUCUGGUCCUGCUUUUCUUAAUUCUUGGCGCAGAUCUUGUGAUCUGGUUCUAUGGUCAUAGAUAGGUUUGUGCGCAUGAUUUGUUCGAUUGACUUCGUCCUAGGUCGUGUUUGAGUCUAGAUUAGGGUAGAAUAGUUGUCUUAUAUUAGAUCUGUACCUGUAUGUCACCAAACAUGCUCAUAGUUACGUUGAGUUGAUGGAUGAAGAUAUAUGAUUCGAUAGUCAAUGGCAUGUGCUGCUGUUACUCGUUUACUAGGCUGUAGCUUUUACACGACGAGCGUUAUUAUCGUGGUGGUUUGUUUUGACAUGCAUGCCCGAUUCAUUUACUGCUACUGAUUGUUAUUUGGAGCAUCUCCAAAGGUGCCUAAAAAUUAAAAUACUACAUCAUUUAAUGUGUGCAGAGCACUAAAAAAUAAAUUGAGAUGCAACAGUUAGACCUUAAAUAAUGUAUUUUAAGAAGUAAAUUAUAUUAUUAGGAAAGAAAAUGUUCAUAAUGAUCUAGGAAAUAAGGAUAGAACACUAAUA
rnacentral:lncRNA from 1 species